rnacentral:rRNA from 1 species
UACGUAGGCAGCAAGCGUUGUUCGGAAUUACUGGGCGUAAAGGGUGCGUAGGCGGCUUUUUAAGUUUGGUGUGAAAUCUCCUGGCUCAACUGGGAGGGUGCGCCGAAUACUGAAUGACUUCGAGUGCGGGAGAGGAGAGUGGAAUUCCUGGUGUAGCGGUGAAAUGCGUAGAUAUCAGGAGGAACACCGGUGGUGUAGACGGCUCUCUGGACCGUAACUGACGCUGAGACACGAAAGCGUGGGUAGCAAACAGG